AGUCGAGCGGAUGAGAAGAGCUUGCUCUUCGAUUCAGCGGCGGACGGGUGAGUAAUGCCUAGGAAUCUGCCUGGUAGUGGGGGACAACGUUUCGAAAGGAACGCUAAUACCGCAUACGUCCUACGGGAGAAAGCAGGGGACCUUCGGGCCUUGCGCUAUCAGAUGAGCCUAGGUCGGAUUAGCUAGUUGGUGGGGUAAAGGCUCACCAAGGCGACGAUCCGUAACUGGUCUGAGAGGAUGAUCAGUCACACUGGAACUGAGACACGGUCCAGACUCCUACGGGAGGCAGCAGUGGGGAAUAUUGGACAAUGGGCGAAAGCCUGAUCCAGCCAUGCCGCGUGUGUGAAGAAGGUCUUCGGAUUGUAAAGCACUUUAAGUUGGGAGGAAGGGCAUUAACCUAAUACGUUAGUGUUUUGACGUUACCGACAGAAUAAGCACCGGCUAACUCUGUGCCAGCAGCCGCGGUAAUACAGAGGGUGCAAGCGUUAAUCGGAAUUACUGGGCGUAAAGCGCGCGUAGGUGGUUCGUUAAGUUGGAUGUGAAAUCCCCGGGCUCAACCUGGGAACUGCAUCCAAAACUGGCGAGCUAGAGUAUGGUAGAG
rnacentral:rRNA from 1 species